CUAAAAGGUUUCCCUAAUAGUUCCUGGUGAAUCAAAGCAGAACCAUAAAGGUUGCUGGACUGCAUGAUGGCCUUACCCCUGAGCAGUCAUCCUGUUAAAGGAGGAACCAGUUAGAAGCUGUUUUCAAAGUAGCUGAGCAGAUUUCAUCUCAACAGACAAAGCCGAUGGCAGAAGAUGUUUGGAGAAGAACUUCAGGCCGUGGACUGAAAAGUAGAUCAAAGCAGCUCGUGCUCUGUCUGCUUCCAUUCUGAUGGCAAGAAGAAGAAGAAGGAGAAGAAUGCUUCAGCGAAGUGGCGUUCAUGGUCUCAGUGGACAGUCAUGGUCACACACUGCAUGUGGUUUUAAAAGCAACAUUGUUCACCACAACAAUGGAGAUGUGUAAUAUUAGUGCAGCUACGGUUUGUUCUUGAACAUCAGUUCUGUUUUCUACUUUGAUCACUUAGACCAAAAAAAGUGUUGUUUUCAGAUUCUUUCUUUUAAAUCUAUAAAGCACCUGUUCAUUUUUUAUUACAAUUAGUUUCACAUAAAUGUUAGUGUUUCCUUUAUGAUCUUUUAAUGCUUACACUACACUGUACACGUCUACAUUAGAGACAUUUCUGUUACCUAUGUAUGAGACUGGGCUGCUUGACUACAAUUUGGAAAUGGAUGCAAAAUCACACGGAUCGUGCUAUUGUUUGUUUUUUAAUGUGAUGGACUGAACACAGGAGGUAUCUGACUAAGCAAAGAUUAAUCUGAGCCCAUUUCUACCUGUCUCUACUGUUUCAACUGUAACUGUCAGGAUAUAUAUUUAUUCCAGCUCUCAUAGGGCAAAGGAAUGACUCAGACUUGUCAAAUGUUCUUUGAUUUGAUACACAAUAUGAAGUUCACAAUUUUCUUACAAAUAAAACUAU